rnacentral:rRNA from 1 species
AGAGUUUGAUCCUGGCUCAGAUUGAACGCUGGCGGCAUGCUUUACACAUGCAAGUCGGACGGCAGCACAGAGAAGCUUGCUUCUUGGGUGGCGAGUGGCGAACGGGUGAGUAAUAUAUCGGAACGUACCGAGUAAUGGGGGAUAACUAAUCGAAAGAUUAGCUAAUACCGCAUAUUCUCUGAGGAGGAAAGCAGGGGACCUUCGGGCCUUGCGUUAUUCGAGCGGCCGAUAUCUGAUUAGCUAGUUGGUGGGGUAAAGGCCUACCAAGGCGACGAUCAGUAGCGGGUCUGAGAGGAUGAUCCGCCACACUGGGACUGAGACACGGCCCAGACUCCUACGGGAGGCAGCAGUGGGGAAUUUUGGACAAUGGGCGCAAGCCUGAUCCAGCCAUGCCGCGUGUCUGAAGAAGGCCUUCGGGUUGUAAAGGACUUUUGUCAGGGAAGAAAAGGAUAGGGUUAAUACCCCUGUCUGAUGACGGUACCUGAAGAAUAAGCACCGGCUAACUACGUGCCAGCAGCCGCGGUAAUACGUAGGGUGCGAGCGUUAAUCGGAAUUACUGGGCGUAAAGCGGGCGCAGACGGUUACUUAAGCAGGAUGUGAAAUCCCCGGGCUCAACCUGGGAACUGCGUUCUGAACUGGGUGACUAGAGUGUGUCAGAGGGAGGUAGAAUUCCACGUGUAGCAGUGAAAUGCGUAGAGAUGUGGAGGAAUACCGAUGGCGAAGGCAGCCUCCUGGGAUAACACUGACGUUCAUGCUCGAAAGCGUGGGUAGCAAACAGGAUUAGAUACCCUGGUAGUCCACGCCCUAAACGAUGUCAAUUAGCUGUUGGGCAGCUUGACUGCUUAGUAGCG